rnacentral:rRNA from 1 species
GUUGUCAACGUUGCAGUCUGAGCGAAUACGCAAUUGAAUUAAAACUUUCAACAACGGAUCUCUUGGUUCUGGCAUCGAUGAAGAACGCAGCGAAAUGCGAUAAGUAGUGUGAAUUGCAGAAUUCAGUGAAUCAUCGAAUCUUUGAACGCACAUUGCGCCCUUUGGCAUUCCGAAGGGCAUACCUGUUCGAGCGUCAUUUCAACCGUCAAGCUUGGCUUGGUGUUGGGCGUUUUGUCCCGCUGCGUGCGCGGACUCGCCUUAAAAGAAUCGGCGUCUGCAUGUGGGCCUGAUGCGUAGUAAAAUUCGCAGAGCAGGCUGGCGUGCUGGCGGCCGGAACACACUAUAUCUUUUUGUUUGACCUCGGAUCAGGUAGGGAUACCCGCUGAACUUAAGCAUAUCAAUAAGCGGAGGAAAAGAAACCAACAGGGAUUGCCCUAGUAACGGCGAGUGAAGCGGCAACAGCUCAAAUUUGAAAUCUGGCCCCCUGUGGGGUCCGAGUUGUAAUUUGUAGAGGGUGUUUCGGCGCGGUCCCCAGCCUAAGUUCCUUGGAACGGGACGUCAUAGAGGGUGAGAACCCCGUAUGCGGCUGGUGUGCCGUGCCAUGUGAAACCCCUUCGACGAGUCGAGUUGUUUGGGAAUGCAGCUCUAAAUGGGAGGUAUAUUUCUUCUAAAGCUAAAUACUGGCCAGAGACCGAUAGCGCACAAGUAGAGUGAUCGAAAGAUGAAAAGCACUUUGGAAAGAGAGUCAAACAGCACGUGAAAUUGUUGAAAGGGAAGCGCUUGCCACCAGACUUGUUGGCCGUCGUUCAUCCCGGGGUUUCCCCGGGUGCAUUCGGCGGCGGACAGGCCAGCAUCAGUGGGGGCGGUCGGACAAAGGCGCGGGGAAUGUAGCUCUCUCCGGGGAGUGUUAUAGCCCCGCGCGUCCUACGGCCAGCCCCGACUGAGGUCCGCGCUCGGCUAGGAUGCUG